rnacentral:RNase_P_RNA from 1 species
UUGGAAGGGUGGAGGAUCGCUCCCGGCGCAAGCCGGGGGAGGAAAGUCCGAACUCCGUAGGGCACGACGCCACAUAACCCAAGUCUGUUCGAUUGGGAUACAUGCGGGAGGUCCGUCACAAGGCGGAUCGACGGAUAGUGCCACAGAAAACAGACAGCCCGCCGGCGCUCUUCGGAGCGGUGGCAGGUGAUGGUGAAAAGGUGCGGUAAGAGCGCACCGCGUGAAGCGUAAGCGACACGGCACGGAAAACCCCGUCGGGUGCAAGACCAAAUAGGGAAUCCUGGAGCGGCCCGCUCCGGUGCCGCGAAAGCGGCCGGAUUCCGGGUAUUGGUCGCUGAGACAAAUGAUCCUCUCCGCUGCAAGGCGCAGACAGAAUUCGGCUUAUAGCCCUUCCAAAACC